UUCAUAGCACUUAUCAUUAUCUGGACUCA
rnacentral:piRNA from 1 species